GACGAACGCUGGCGGCGUGCUUAACACAUGCAAGUCGAACGGAAAGGCCCUGCUUUUGUGGGGUGCUCGAGUGGCGAACGGGUGAGUAACACGUGAGUAACCUGCCCUUGACUUUGGGAUAACUUCAGGAAACUGGGGCUAAUAUCGGAUAGGAGCUCUUGAUGCAUGGUGGGGGUUGGAAAGUUUCGGCGGUUGGGGCUGGACUCGCGGCGUACCAGCUUGUUGGUGGGGUAGUGGCGUACCAAGGCUUUGACGGGUAGCCGGCCUGAGAGGGUGACCGGCCACCUGGGGACUGCGAGACGGCGCAGACGCCUAUGGGAGGCAGCAGGGGGGAAUAUUGCAGAGCGGGCGGAAGCGUGAGACAGCAACGCCGCGUGCGGGAUGCUGGCCUUCGGGUUGUAAACCGCUUUCGCCUGAGACGAGGCGUGAGUGACGGUAAUGGGUAAAGAAGCACCGGCUAACUACGUG
rnacentral:rRNA from 1 species